ACUUCUGAAGACCAAAAUCUUUAUCUGCCAGCCAGCACAAACUAUGUUUGAGUAUGCACAAAGAAAACAGCUUUAAAACUGAGAUGGAUGACCUAGGAGCCACAUAAAGGAAAUUAAUCAAAAUGAAGGUAGAGACUUUUGAAUGAUCAACUGCAAGUGAUAUGACUUAUUUAAGUGUUUAGGUGUGGAUGCAAGGAGGUUGAAACACAAAGAGAAGAGAAUUCAAAACAUUUCCAGUGAAAGUGCAAGAAAAUAUUAAAGCACUGCUUAUUUUAAGGACAUUUUAUAUUCAUAAGACCGCCUGGAGAGCUCCCUAGCCCCUUCUGCCAUGUAAAGACACAGGAAGAAGAUGGUCAUCUAUGUAUCAGAAACUAAGC